rnacentral:rRNA from 1 species
UACGAAGGGUGCAAGCGUUACUCGGAAUUACUGGGCGUAAAGCGUGCGUAGGCGGUUUGUUAAGUCCGUUGUGAAAGCCCUGGGCUCAACCUGGGAAUUGCAGUGGAUACUGGCGAGCUAGAGUGCGGUAGAGGAUGGUGGAAUUCCCGGUGUAGCGGUGAAAUGCGUAGAUAUCGGAAGGAACAUCAGUGGCGAAAGCGGCUUCCUGGUCCAGCACCGACGUUCAGGCACGAAAGCGUGGGGAGCAACAGGG